rnacentral:rRNA from 1 species
UACGUAGGGUGCAAGCGUUGUCCGGAAUUAUUGGGCGUAAAGAGCUCGUAGGCGGUCUGUCGCGUCGGCUGUGAAAUCCCGAGGCUCAACCUCGGGUCUGCAGUCGAUACGGGCAAACUAGAGUAUUGCAGGGGAGACUGGAAUUCCUGGUGUAGCGGUGAAAUGCGCAGAUAUCAGGAGGAACACCGGUGGCGAAGGCGGGUCUCUGGGCAAUACCUGACGCUGAGGAGCGAAAGUGUGGGGAGCGAACAGG